AAUCUUUAUAUAAUUAACUACAAUCUUAGUUUCCUUUAGUGGGUCUUAAUCGUUUUGCCUUUAUUUCCCCCUCAAGAUAAAGGAGAGCAACAAAAACUUUCUGUCUAAAUUGUUUAUCCUCUCAUUCUCUUUCCCUCUCUUGAUUCUCAACCCGUUUUUCUCAUAUAUCUUAUUUUAUCUUUUCAACAUUCUCUAGCUAAAAAUGCCUUUAGAGUCUGUUGUAUACCCGCAAGAUCCACUCGAUUACCUCUCCACUUGCAAAGAUUUCACGUUCCAAGAUCUGUACUAUCAAGAAGAGGUAGUAGUAGCUCAAGACACGAAGAACAACAUUAACAAGUUAGGGCAAGAACAGAGCUUGGAAAACGAUAAGGAGCAAGAUCGUCAAUGGCGAGACUAUCAUCAAUACCCUUUACUUCCUUAUUUGGAAGAAGAACUUGGUCUUCCCGCCAUUGAAAUGGAGAGUCCUCCUCCUCUGCAGCAGAGGAGGAAGAGGAGGAGAACUAGAAGCAACAAGAACGUGGAAGAGAUCGAGAACCAGAGAAUGACUCACAUCGCCGUCGAGAGAAAUCGCCGAAAACAGAUGAACGAGUACCUAGCCGUGCUCCGUUCUCUAAUGCCUACCUCUUAUGCUCAAAGGGGAGAUCAAGCAUCGAUAGUAGGAGGAGCUAUUAAUUACGUGAAGGAAUUGGAGCACAUCUUACAAUCUAUGGAGCCUAAAAGGAUCACGACCACAACCCAUGAAGCUAACACUAGCUGUAGCUCGUUAGUGGAUCCCUUCUCAGAUUUUUUCUCUUUCCCUCAAUACUCGACAAAGUCAUCAUUAAUAACGGAAGGCUCAUCUUCGCCGGCGGAGAUAGAAGUGACGGUGGCGGAAGGCCACGCGAACAUCAAGAUAAUGGUGAAGAAAAAGCCAAAGCAGCUUCUUAAGCUUGUAGCUUCGAUACAGAGCCUAAGACUCACUCUUCUUCAUCUUAAUGUCACCACUCUCGACAACUCGAUUCUCUACUCCAUCAGCGUCAAGGGCAUCCAGGUGCUGGAGAUAUUUACGGUGGUGAGUCUCGGCUAGCCAGUCUAGGCUCUCGUUUCUCCAUGUUAAUGAGCAAGGUACUACUACAAAUUUUGAAGCUUUUGGUUGAUUAUUAUUAACUAAUGGGUUCCAAUAAAGACUUAACCCUUUUAGAUAUAAUGAAGAAUAAAAAUGGCAACAAAAGAAGAGCCUAAGCCUUUUUUUUUGUUUUGAGCAAAAGAGCCUAAGCCUUUUGUGAACCACUCAACUCAAAUAUGGCUGCACCUGAUUAUAUUGUUUCCAUCAAAAGCGAUGUUUAUAUUCCAUCAUCUACUGGAAACAUGGCGAGAGUUGUUGAAGGGCAUGGCCGGUAUCUUGGCCACCAGAGAACCAUCUCUCCGGACAGACAGCAAAAGAGGACGAUGGGAUGGGCUUAUUCAUCAUUCAUCAAGCGGGAGUUGUCUUAAAGAGGACCAGGGAAAGUUCCAUUCUCUCUUUGCUCGUUCCACCUAUCAACCUAUAAGUACAAACACACACAAGAAGAUAGUUUUAAUGACACCUUGUAAAAAUCUCAAGAUAGUCAAGGAGGUGAAGGAUACUUAGUAUAUAUAUAUAUACCCAUUCGCUGGGGCAAAGAGAUCGAUAAAACUUUGCAAACUUAUCGCAUUCUGGAGCAUCGUCACCCUUAGCAGCUACACAUCUGGGAGAUUUGAAAAUCAAUCACAAAGACUUAGAGAUAAGGAGGGACCGAUUCAGUUUAGGAAAAUUUACAGAAGAACAUCGUUAUUUUUUUUUUUCACCUGUGAUACUCAAUGUAACGUGUGAAACAAUGCCUCGUUUGGUUUGUGGUCGGGAAACGGAAAUCAGCAGGAGCUGUCUUAAGCUGCAAAGACACAAACAAACAAAAAAGAAAAAAAACACAACAGGAGCCAACUCAAUCAAUCAAUCAAAUAACAAGUGCAUCAAAG